rnacentral:misc_RNA from 1 species
AUGGUUAUCCGUUCAUAUCAUAAGGUAUAGGCGUUAAAUUGUAAACAGUUUGUUCAUCCUCCAUAGGAUAUAGGCUGUAGCCGUAAAUGUUUUUUUUCAUGGUGUCCUAACAAGAAUUUUUUAUUUUUUUAAAGUCGAAGUUUGUUUUAUGCUGAGCUCAAAUUAAGCAUGUUGAUUUCAGUCUUUGAGGCUUCCUUCUAUUCAUUUAGAAUAUUAUCAUCAGAAAGCGGGGGAAAUUCUCUGAAACUAAUCCAUAGCAUCUGAGAUUUUCUAGUUUCCAGAGACUCUUUUCUUUGUUGAAAGUAUUCCUGUAGGAGUCAAUGUAGGUAUAACUGUGUAAGUGAUUCAGUCAAUGGGUCUGCAGACUAUCUGAUAUGGCAUUCUGUUCCUCAAAUGUAUAGUUUAACAGAAGUAUGUAAUAGUUGCUGCUUGUUUCUCUUGCCACUGCAAAUUUUAUUAAUUUUUCUUUAUUCAUGCCUGGACAGUCCUUGACCUUAUGUCAAUCCUUUUUGCAGUGCUUUUCUAAUGUUGUCUGUUCUUUUUUAAUCAAUUAAUUAUGCUAACUCCCCUCCCCCUCACUGGGAAUGAAAUUGCAGUCAAGAGGAGAUCAUCAUCGCA